UUUCUCCGUUAUCAAAAUAAACUGAUAUUUAGUAAAGAUUUUUUAAAAAUAUAUUGCUAACUGUAAUUUUUCACAAUUGUGGGCAACUUUUUCAGGUAAAAAGAAUGCAGCUUACCUAUUCAAGGAAGUAGUAAAAUGGUAAAGCUUGUUAUGUUGUGUUCUCAAAGGGUUAAUAAUAAGUUCUGGCUUCUUUCUUUUAAUUUUCUGAAAGAGC